GCACAUCUUGCCCCAAUUUAGACAGAUCAACAUGGCAUAUGAAAAGCAGCUUCAUUUACUGUCCUUGACAUAACUAACCAUACAUUUGCAGGAACACUUCUUCCUACCUAGACUUAUUAUUUUUUCAGAAUCUUAAUAGAUGGGCUUUGUGUUUAUGAAUUUGUAAUGCUGCUUACCAUAUAUUUUAAGUCAAAGUGGAUCAUUCUGUUGAGGAUUCUCUACCUUCUUCUUUUCAUUUUUUACAAAAGAGCAGAUGCUUCGAGUGACUUGCAGCGAGAUGUACAACCAAGUUGUUUCUGUUGGAGGACAUGGGGAGCUUGUUGCCUGAGAGCAGCUCACAUUUCUGGUUCAGACUUACCACAGCAUUUAUGAUUUGAAGUGACCUUGGUGUGUCUUACAACACUCAAUAUCGGGAGGCUUUAUAAAACUCAUAUCUCAGAAGUGUCUGACAUUACAUUACAAGAGGAUCUGUAAACCUCUGUGAGAUGACGAAUGUCUUUUUUAAACAACAGACCAAGACUUCAUUUAAAUUAGUAACGUGAAGAUUAGAGGAGCUCUCACAGGCUGUGCUGCAGCCAUGCCAGGACUCUAGGAAUAUCAGUCACAUGAAAGCUGUUAAGUUUGAGAUGGAAAUAAAUCAAGGAGCCUGUAAAAACUGUCAGCAGGUCAGGGAAGUUUAUGAACUCUUGCUGUAUCUAAUCAUAAAUCAUAAGAAUAAGCUAAAACUGAGAAGAAAAAUGUCCUCUUUUGUAAUCUAAUGCUGUCUGUUAAGGCAAUAAAACUCAAAUGAAAUGCAU
rnacentral:lncRNA from 1 species